AACAGUUUGUGGAAGCAGGACUCUGAUUUGAUGUUCCUACUGCUUAGAGAUCUCUCCUUUAUCCUUUCCCUUUGCUGCUAAGUGAUUUCCCUUUUCCAUCUGCAACUGGGAUGGUCAUCACUGUUACUUUGUCACGGUGCUGCUGGUAGAACAGAGGAUGUUCAGGGCUCCGUGGGACAUUGGCCUGACCCUCUACAGCUUCUGUUACGGGGUACAGCUGGUGUUAAGGCUGGAAUUUCAGAAGGACGUGUGGAGUUCCUGCUCUUAGACAUUACACAGUGAGUCAAGUUAGCAGAGGACCAAUGUGACAAGCCCCUGCAUUGCUGCAUUGGAGCCAGCAAAGCUAGAAGCUUGCAGAGUUGAAGUCCCUCAAACCCAACAACUCCGUGUUACUUCGUGCUGGUGUUGUGUCUGACACAUGCGUAUGAGUGAAGGCUUAUUGCAUUACCACCUUUGGUGCAAUUCGGAAUCACAAAAUGAAGGAUGGAGGCAGCUGCAGUGUUCCCUUAAGGU
rnacentral:lncRNA from 1 species